UACGUAGGGGGCAAGCGUUAUCCGGAUUUACUGGGUGUAAAGGGAGCGUAGGCGGUUCAGCAAGUCAGAAGUGAGAGCCCGGGGCUCAACUCCGGGACUGCUUUUGAAACUGUUGAACUAGAUUGCAGGAGAGGUAAGUGGAAUUCCUAGUGUAGCGGUGAAAUGCGUAGAUAUUAGGAGGAACACCAGUGGCGAAGGCGGCUUACUGGACUGUAAAUGACGCUGAGGCUCGAAAGCGUGGGGAGCAAACAGG
rnacentral:rRNA from 1 species